rnacentral:rRNA from 1 species
GGGGUGAUCUACCCAUGGCCAGGUUGAAGCACGUGUAAGAGCGUGUGGAGGACCGAACCCACCUAGGUUGAAAACUGGGGGGAUGAGCUGUGGGUAGGGGUGAAAGGCCAAUCAAACUCCGUGAUAGCUGGUUCUCCCCGAAAUGCAUUUAGGUGCAGCGUCGCGUGUUGCCCGGCGGAGGUAGAGCUACUGGGUGGCUGAUGGGCCCCACAGGGUUACUGACGUCAACCAAACUCCGAAUGCCGUCGGGUUGUAGCGUGGCAGUGAGACCGCGGGGGAUAAGCUCCGUGGUCGAGAGGGAAACAGCCCAGAUCGCCGGCUAAGGCCCCUAAGCGUGUGCUAAGUGGGAAAGGAUGUGCGGUCGCGCAGACAACCAGGAGGUUGGCUUAGAAGCAGCCAUCCUUGAAAGAGUGCGUAAUAGCUCACUGGUCAAGUGAUCGUGCGCCGACAAUGUAGCGGGGCUCAAGCACACCGCCGAAGCCGCGGACCCAUGACAUGGUUCCCUUCAUCGUCCGGCUUGCCCGGGUGGUGGCAGGGGUUGUGGGUGGUAGGGGAGCGUCCUGCACCGGGGGAAGCCUGUGGGUGACUGCUGGUGGACGGUGCGGGAGUGAGAAUGCAGGCAUGAGUAGCGAUACUAGGGUGAGAAGCCCUAGCGCCGAAUGACCAAGGGUUCCAGGGCCAGGCUAGUCCGCCCUGGGUGAGUCGGGACCUAAGGCGAGGCCGACAGGCGUAGUCGAUGGAUGACGGGUUGAUAUUCCCGUACCGGCGAAGCACCGCCCAUGCUGACGCGCGGGUGCUAACCCACGCCCAGCCACCAUGUAGGCCGCGCCUACUCCUUUCGGGGGGUGGUGUGGUUGUGGUGGUGGGGUCUGGGGAUCCUCCGUGCAGGUAGGCAAGCGUGUUAACAGGGGUGACGCACAGUGGUAGCCCGGCGGACCUGAUGGCUUGGUCCGUUCAAGCGCGCAGCCCGUCCUCCAGGUAAAUCCGGGGGACUGUCUUUGAUGACGGGGGUGAGGCGUGAUGGUGACCUCACACUGGUGGGGGAUAACAGGGUGAUCCUGGGGUGCCGAGAAAAGCCUCGACGCGAUGGUGCCAGCCGCCCGUACCCUAAACCGACACAGGUGGUCGGGCAGAGUAUGCCUAGGCGCACGAGUGAAUCAUGGUUAAGGAACUCGGCAAAAUGCCCCCGUAACUUCGGGAGAAGGGGGGCCCGAUCCCUUGAAGCCCCGUGGCGGGCUAGGGGGGUGGGUCGCAGAGACCAGGGGGAAGCGACUGUUUACUAAAAACACAGGUCCGUGCGAAGCCGUAAGGCGAUGUAUACGGACUGACGCCUGCCCGGUGCUGGAAGGUUAAGAGGAACCAUCAACCCCCUCGGGGGUGAAGUGGUGAAUUUAAGCCCCAGUAAACGGCGGUGGUAACUAUAACCAUCCUAAGGUAGCGAAAUUCCUUGUCGGGUAAGUUCCGACCUGCACGAAUGGCGUAACGACUUCCCCGCUGUCUCAACCAUGAGCUCGGCGAAAUUGCAGUACGAGUAAAGAUGCUCGUUUCGCGCAGAAGGACGGAAAGACCCCGGGACCUUUACUACAGCUUGGUAUUGGCGCCCGCUAUAGCUUGUGCAGGAUAGGUGGGAGACUGUGAAGCCGUUACGCCAGUAGCGGUGGAGUCGUCCUUGAAAUACCACUCUGGUUAUGGCGUGCGCCUGAACCUGGGCCCGUGAUCCGGGUUAGGGACAGUGCCUGGUGGGUAGUUUAACUGGGGCGGUUGCCUCCUAAAGUGUAACGGAGGCGCUCAAAGGUUCCCUCAGCCUGGUCGGUAACCAGGUGUUGAGUGUAAGUGCACAAGGGAGCUUGACUGUGAGACUGACGGGUCGAGCAGGUACGAAAGUAGGAACUAGUGAUCCGGCGAUCCCGUGUGGGUGGGUCGUCGCUCAACGGAUAAAAGGUACCCCGGGGAUAACAGGCUGAUCCUGCC